rnacentral:rRNA from 1 species
UACGGAGGAUCCGAGCGUUAUCCGGAUUUAUUGGGUUUAAAGGGUGCGUAGGUGGCCUGUUAAGUCAGGGGUGAAAGACGGUAGCUCAACUAUCGCAGUGCCCUUGAUACUGAUGAGCUUGAAUGCAGCUGAGGUAGGCGGAAUGUGACAAGUAGCGGUGAAAUGCAUAGAUAUGUCACAGAACACCGAUUGCGAAGGCAGCUUACUAAAGUGUGAUUGA